UACAGAGGUCCCAAGCGUUGUUCGGAUUCACUGGGCGUAAAGGGUGCGCAGGUGGCGGGGUAAGUUUGAUGUGAAAUCUCCGGGCUCAACCCGGAAAAUGCAUUGAAUACUAUCCUGCUAGAGGGUUGGAGGGGAGACUGGAAUUCUCGGUGUAGCAGUGAAAUGCGUAGAUAUCGAGAGGAACACCAGUGGCGAAGGCGAGUCUCUGGACAACUCCUGACACUGAGGCACGAAAGCUAGGGGAGCAAACAGG
rnacentral:rRNA from 1 species